rnacentral:tRNA from 1 species
UCCCUGGUGGCUCAGAGGUUAAAGUGUCUGCCUCCAAUGCAGGAGACCCAGGUUCGAUCCCUGGGUCAGGAAG